UGGGGAAUAUUGCACAAUGGAGGAAACUCUGAUGCAGCAACGCCGCGUGAAGGAUGAAGGUUUUCGGAUUGUAAACUUCUUUGAUUGGGGACGAAUAAUGACGGUACCCAAGGAACAAGCCACGGCUAACUACGUGCCAGCAGCCGCGGUAAUACGUAGGUGGCGAGCGUUGUCCGGAAUUACUGGGUGUAAAGGGCGUGUAGGCGGGAAUGCAAGUCAGAUGUGAAAUUCCGAGGCUUAACCUCGGCGCUGCAUCUGAAACUGUAUUUCUUGAGUGCUGGAGAGGAAAGCGGAAUUCCUAGUGUAGCGGUGAAAUGCGUAGAUAUUAGGAGGAACACCAGUGGCGAAGGCGGCUUUCUGGACAGUAACUGACGCUGAGGCGCGAAAGCGUGGGGAGCAAACAGG
rnacentral:rRNA from 2 species